rnacentral:rRNA from 1 species
GUGGGGAAUAUUGGACAAUGGGCGAAAGCCUGAUCCAGCCAUGCCGCGUGUGUGAAGAAGGUCUUCGGAUUGUAAAGCACUUUAAGUUGGGAGGAAGGGCAGUAAGUUAAUACCUUGCUGUUUUGACGUUACCGACAGAAUAAGCACCGGCUAACUUCGUGCCAGCAGCCGCGGUAAUACGAAGGGUGCAAGCGUUAAUCGGAAUUACUGGGCGUAAAGCGCGCGUAGGUGGUUUUGUAAGUUGGAGGUGAAAUCCCCGGGCUCAACCUGGGAACUGCCUCCAAAACUGCAUGACUAGAGGACGGUAGAGGGUAGUGGAAUUUCCUGUGUAGCGGUGAAAUGCGUAGAUAUAGGAAGGAACACCAGUGGCGAAGGCGACUACCUGGACGGAUACUGACACUGGGGUGCGAAAGCGUGGGGAGCAAACAGGAUUAGAAACCCGUGUAGUCC